AGCGAACGCUGGCGGCAGGCUUAACACAUGCAAGUCGAGCGGGCACUUUCGGGUGUCAGCGGCGGACGGGUGCGUAACGCGUGGGAACGUGCCCUCUGGUUCGGAAUAACUCAGGGAAACUUGAGCUAAUACCGGAUACGCCCUUUUGGGGAAAGGCUUGCUGCCGGAGGAUCGGCCCGCGUCUGAUUAGCUAGUUGGUGAGGUAACGGCUCACCAAGGCGACGAUCAGUAGCUGGUCUGAGAGGAUGAUCAGCCACACUGGGACUGAGACACGGCCCAGACUCCUACGGGAGGCAGCAGUGGGGAAUAUUGGACAAUGGGCGCAAGCCUGAUGCAGCCAUGCCGGGUGAGUGAUGAAGGCCUUAGGGUUGUAAAGCUCUUUUAUCCGGGACGAUAAUGACGGUACCGGAGGAAUAAGCCCCGGCUAACUUCGUG
rnacentral:rRNA from 1 species